rnacentral:rRNA from 1 species
CAGACGAUGCGUCAUGCAUAUCAAUAAGCGGAGGAAAAGAAACUAACAAGGAUUCCCCUAGUAACGGCGAGUGAAGCGGGAAGAGCUCAAAUUUGAAAUCUUAAAGGGUUUCCCUUUACGAAUUGUAGUUUAAAGAAGUGUUUUCUGUUGAGGUUUUGGUAAAAGUUCUUUGGAAUAGGACAUCAUAGAGGGUGAGAAUCCCGUAUUUGACCUUUACUUUCAACUUUGUGAUACACUUUCAAAGAGUCGGAUUGUUUGGGAAUGCAGUCCAAAAUGGGUGGUAAAUUUCAUCUAAAGCUAAAUAUUGGCGAGAGACCGAUAGCGAACAAGUACCGUGAGGGAAAGAUGAAAAGAACUUUGAAAAGAGAGUUAAACAGUACGUGAAAUUGUCAAAAGGGAAGCGUUUGACACCAGUGUUGUUUUUCUGAAAAUCAAUUAAAGAACUGUUUAUGCUAAGCUGUUUAGACUUUAUCAGCUAUCUGUUUAGUUUUGAGCUUUUCUUUAAUGCACUUUUCAGUUAACAAGUCAACAUCAAUUUCUUUUGCUGUAAAAAAGCUUGAGGAAGGUGGCUUGAGAUUCGUCUUAAGUGUUUAUAGCCUCUUGCCUAUGCAGUCGGAGAGAUUGAGGUCUGCAGCGUAGAUCCUUCGGGGCUAAAUGCAUUUGUGCUAAGUUAUAACAUUUUAUAGACAACUUGUUGACUAUGAUUUGUCUUGCAGCUUACUCGCUUAUGUUAUUUUACCUACGCUUAGGAUGUUGAAUCUGUGCGAGACUAC